CGGCCUAUUGCAGACUCCUUAUUUUCUUAUAUUCUUAUGUUCUAUACAUCCAUGAAGUUAAUAUAUUUUUCAUUAUGUAGCGUUCACUGGAGGCUUAUUGUUUACACUGAGACCAUCCAAUACAGAUAUUAUUGUUUACUUCUGGUGAACUUAAAAUGGGGUCGUUGUCUACGUUAUGGGCUCAGACCGCUUGAUUAUUGUUCACACACACACACACACGCACACACACACACACGCACACACACACACACACACGCACACACACACACACACCAUCAUAAUACUCGGUGUGUGUGUGUGGUGGAUUGCAACAUACGUCACACUAGCUAAACUGCCUUCACACACACACAGAGGAUAGCCUCACCCUGCUUUACCCCUUGUUGACACAACCAGCCAUUGAGCCUCACACGGGUGUAGUGGUGAAGGUGUGGGUGUAUGUGAUGAAGUAUAGGUAUGGGUGUAAGUGGUGAGAUACAGGUGUGGGUGUAGGUGGAGGUGUUGUGUACAGGAGGUAAAACAAAAGAGAGCUAUAGCUUGAUGGCGUCAUGGUGUGCCUGGCAGUGCCAUUGGGUAAAAAUCGUUGCCAGGAGUCUAGAGAUGGAGAACUUAUCCCUAUAGGAAAUUCAUAAUUGUGAUAAAUAGAGAAAUUAAAUAUAAAAUGAAUGUUUGAGGAUUAAUAGAGAUAAUAAAGAAAAAAUAAAUAAACUCAUACAGUAGAAUGAAUUAGUUUAAGUAGUUAUUUGGCAAUGGAGGAGGAUGUGUGUGUGUAUGUGUGUGUGUGUGUGUGUGUGUGUUACCAUUUAAAAGACAGUCACCACAGUGUACAGGAGAGAGUGGACAGUGCUAAGUGACACAAGAACAAAUACGACUUAGUUAUACUGAAAACUUAAUAUAAAAUGACUUUGAAUUAAUAACACAGACUGGAUGGGAGAUUUAGUGAGUGAAAUAGUGAAGAAAAUUAAGA